rnacentral:lncRNA from 1 species
UAUAACUGCUACUUGUUUUGAAAAUCGAUUUACGUUGGUAAAUCUCAUUUAUUUAUGUGUAAAAUACUCUGUAAAUCUUAAGAUAACAUAAUUCCACGUGUAAAUCUGCACACCGCAUUCAAAUACUCAACCCCUAUGGAUAUUUAGGUUUACAAAGUUGUUCCAAAUCCACAGAUUUUGAUAGAUAGACUUUAUGCUACUACAUUUUCGUUAAUUCCAUAACUAAUCUCAGAAACUUUUUUUUCUUCUUUUUUCUCUGUUGUUUAUCAAUGUCUACUCUCUGAUUUCAAGAAUCCAUUUUUAUUUCCAUGGCGUUGCCUCAAAUCUUACCUUCUUCUUCUUCUUCUUGCACUCACAAACCCCAGUUAAAUCCUUGUAAUUACUUUUUUACCCCACUAUCUAAUAACCCUAAGUGUCACUUUACUCCACAACCGCUCCUCCAUCGCCGCCGCCGCCGUAAUAAUUACACUCUUCGAUGCUCCGCCUUUUCUUUCCCGGAGAAAUACCACACCGGCAGUUCACCCAACUCUGACGACGUUGUUGAGCUUCCACUUUUUCCUCUCCCUCUCGUCCUCUUCCCUGGCGCAAUCCUCCCGCUCCAAAUCUUCGAGUUUCGUUACCGUAUAAUGAUGCAUACACUCCUCCAAACCGACCUCCGUUUCGGAGUUAUUUACUCCGAUAGUGGAUGUUCGUUACCGUAUAAUGAUGCAUACACUCCUCCAAACCGACCUUCGUUUCGGAGUUAUUUACUCCGAUAGUGCUACCGGAACCGCCGACGUCGGCUGCGUAGGCGAAGUCGUUAAACACGAACGCCUAGUCGACGAACGGUUUUUUCUAAUCUGAAAAGGAGGCAACAGAUUUGCGACGGAAUUUAUUUCCGACGCCGUUUUCGUUUUUCGUUGGGAGUACGUUUGAAGGAGCCCCGCAGGAACAACAAGCGUUACUUGAGUUAGAAGAUACAGCUGUGAGAUUGAAAAGGGAAAAGGAAACAUUGAGGAAUACUUUGAAUUAUUUAACUGCUGCUUCUGCUGUUAAGGAUGUCUUCCCGUCUUCGGGAUGAAAAACGACUUAUUAGGUUGGUUACUUAUUAUUAAUGGAAAUCAUGGUUUCUGUAAUUUAUAUACAGAGUGAUG